GCCGGGUGUGGUAGCGCAUGCCUGUAAUCCCAGCAACUCGGGAGGUUGAGGCAGGAGAAUUGCUUGAACCCAGGAGGUGGAAGUUGCAGUGAGCUGAGAUCAUUGUGCCACUGCACUCCAGCCUGGGCAACAGAGCAAGACUCUGUCUCAA
rnacentral:SRP_RNA from 1 species